UUUGAAUUGAGCGAUCUGCAGUGACAGUAGGCUCGACGAAUUCCUCACGGUGGUUCUCCUCCGGUGAUACCACCGCAAACCCUGAUUUGAAGUGGACUCUGGUUGGAUGGUUGAUUCAUCAGUAGCUAUUGAGAAUCAUCUAUUAAGUUAGUACUAGAAAGUAGAAACAUCAACAAGAAGCUGCUUCUUUGGUGAUACUAUGUGUUAAUUCCUAUGGAAACAUUGAGGGUAUAGAAAGAAAAAAGUGUUGGAACAAAUGAGCCCAUCGGGGAAAGAAAUUUGUAUAAAAUGUGAUAAAGGUGGAGAAGUGUUGGUUUGUGCUGAUAGUUGUUGUCCUAUAGCAGUUCAUGUAAGGUGCAUGGGUUGUCCAGCCAGAUUUGAUGAUUUGGGAAAAUUCUAUUGCCCCUAUUGUCUGUAUAGGCAAUCAAUUGCAAGAUUUCAUCAAGCAAAGGUGUAUGUUUUGUCAAAAAAACAAGCUCUGGAUGAUUUCAUAGACAAGGUCAGAGAGGUGCCAUUAAUAGUAAGCAAAUCAACACGUGAAAGAUCUGAUGAGCCAUUACCAGAAAAGAAGAGUGAUGUUCCAGAAAGCAAUUGUGAUCAACAAUGGGUGGUUGGGCAGAAAAUACAUGCAGGCCCAGCUGUUAAUUGUGGUAGUAAACCUAGUGUUCGUACAUCUUCUAAAGCAACAUCAACCAAUUUUAGAGUUUUAGAAGCUGGAAACGGCAUUCAGGUAAAUGAUCUACAAGAAGUUGGUGAACACCAACUAGAGAAAAGUGUUGAAGAUCACCACAAAGAUGGCCACUUAAGUAACUCUUCUGUUGCUGAAGAGGAAAUAUUGGGGAAUGAACUUGUUCUGGAAGAACCAAAAAGAAACUCCACUGAAAUUGCAGGAGAACAGAUGACAGAGGUUGAUCAAACUACUGCAAUUGUCGUAUACACGGAUCCUUCGUUGCAGCAGCACUUGCAUGGUAAAAGAAGAGCUGAAACUGCGGAUUUAACAUGUGGAGAAUCUAAGUGUGUUUCAACACAACGUGAGUGUGGUAAACGGGUUAAGAAAGUUAAAGAUGAACAUAUGCUGACUGACUCUCCAAGAAUGUUAACUAGGAAAUCAGCUUCCUUACUUGAGAAUGGUAAUGCAGCGGGCAUGUUUGUGCAAGUUAAACACCCUUCCAUGUUACCAGAUAUCCUUCCAAAUGGGAAACGUAGAAGAGUAUUAUGGCGUAGCGAAGAGGAAGAGAUGAUUGAGGAAGGAGUUCAAAAAUUCUCAUCCAAAGUAAACAAAAACACCCCAUGGAGAAAAAUUCUAGACUUUGGUCAUCAUGUGUUUGAUCAUUCUCGCACUCCAACUGAUCUCAAGGACAAAUGGAAACAAAUGUGCUCUAAAUAUGGUGGUCAAGUUUGACCAGGAGUUCUUUGCUAAACUAGUGAAAUGUUGGAAUUGCUUUGUGAUAUCCAGAUUCAAAUGUGUGACGAAGAGUACCUUUCUUUUUUCUCUUUUGUGGAUCGCUUCUUCAUCGAGCAAGCAGGGAACGUGUAAAUUUCCUUAUAAAUCUUAGCUUAAUGUAUUAUGUACCCACUACUUGUCAAAGAAUACAAGUAUACUUGAUACAUGGAUAGUUUGAAAGGGAAAUAGUUCAUGUUUGGUUGUUUUUCGAGCACCUCUUUCUUUACGCUGCACCCAC